UACGUAGGGGGCUAGCGUUGUCCGGAAUCAUUGGGCGUAAAGCGCGUGUAGGCGGUCCGGUAAGUCCGCUGUGAAAGUCGAGGGCUCAACCCUCGAAUGCCGGUGGAUACUGUCGGGCUAGAGUGCGGAAGAGGCGAGUGGAAUUCCUGGUGUAGCGGUGAAAUGCGCAGAUAUCGGGAAGAACACCCGUGGCGAAGGCGGCUCUCUGGGACGGUACUGACGCUGAGACGCGAAAGCGUGGGGGAGCGAACAGG
rnacentral:rRNA from 1 species